CUAAUACAUGCAAGUCGAGCGAGCGGAACCAACAGAUUUACUUCGGUAAUGACGUUGGGAAAGCGAGCGGCGGAUGGGUGAGUAACACGUGGGGAACCUGCCCCUAAGUCUGGGAUACCAUUUGGAAACAGGUGCUAAUACCGGAUAAUAAAGCAGAUCGCAUGAUCAGCUUUUGAAAGGCGGCGUAAGCUGUCGCUAAGGGAUGGCCCCGCGGUGCAUUAGCUAGUUGGUAAGGUAACGGCUUACCAAGGCGACGAUGCAUAGCCGAGUUGAGAGACUGAUCGGCCACAUUGGGACUGAGACACGGCCCAAACUCCUACGGGAGGCAGCAGUAGGGAAUCUUCCACAAUGGACGCAAGUCUGAUGGAGCAACGCCGCGUGAGUGAAGAAGGUUUUCGGAUCGUAAAGCUCUGUUGUUGGUGAAGAAGGAUAGAGGUAGUAACUGGCCUUUAUUUGACGGUAAUCAACCAGAAAGUCACGGCUAACUACGUGCCAGCAGCCGCGGUAAUACGUAGGUGGCAAGCGUUGUCCGGAUUUAUUGGGCGUAAAGCGAGCGCAGGCGGAAAAAUAAGUCUAAUGUGAAAGCCCUCGGCUUAACCGAGGAACUGCAUCGGAAACUGUUUUUCUUGAGUGCAGAAGAGGAGAGUGGAACUCCAUGUGUAGCGGUGGAAUGCGUAGAUAUAUGGAAGAACACCAGUGGCGAAGGCGGCUCUCUGGUCUGCAACUGACGCUGAGGCUC
rnacentral:rRNA from 1 species